ACAUUUGAUACCAAAGAAAAACAGGGGGAAAAUAGCUUUAAAAGUUCUAGAACAAAUUACCACCGAGUUUGAAUUUGAUGGUUGUGGUGUGUAUCAAUUAUCAAACAAAAGACAACAUCACGUGCUGUAUGUAUGAUAUUAAACCUCCCUGUAGCAAUGAAUUAUGGGCCUUUGGGGGCUUUUGAUGAAUCUGAUAUAUUCGAUGAAACUCUUCAAAGAUAGAUCAUCUGUUUAUUUAUAAAAGUACUUUUAUUGUCUUAAAUUGUCAUUUGGGAUAAAUUGACCUUUUGCUGUUUUAAUAAUAUUUACAAUGAAAUACUUCAGAAAUGUGUUUCACAAAUGUGAUUGGUUGCUUUGUUGGCAUUAGCAGCAGGAGCCGACCAGUGAAAACAACACGAUGAGACAUUUCUCUUUUUUUACCACAGUUUUCUGUUCAGUGUUUGUCUUUCAUGUUUUGACAUAAAAACAAAGGAAAAUAAAUACAAUAAACACUCCUACAGCACAACCGAAAGAUUGAAUAAAACACAACUAGCUGUGCAGCCAGACCUGACCAGAUUCAAUUACUGAUCUCCUAUCAUUUCAGGCAAGAAAUGGAGGUCCAACAUAUGAAUGAUGACUAGUUUUCUUUGUUUUACAUUGUCAUGGAGGCCAUGAUUAAUGGACAGGUUUGCAAGCAACCAGAAUACAGACGACAGUAUACAGUAAUCAAAGCUGUUAUUAGAUUCCCUUGUUGUCAAUCCCACCUCCAAUAGUAUGGUGUUACAGUAUUAAUGUGUCAUUGAACCUACCAUCUGAAAACAGAUGUAAAUACUUCAUACAAGUUCAUCACCAACAUGUUUAGAAAAAAUGACAUCAAAUGGUCAUAACUGUAUUGUGUUUCUUACCCAAACCAUAUGUAGGAAAUGGACAUGUAUGACAGGGUGUGUUGGAUGUUUUAAUAAUAUUGUUGUUAUUAACACGAUUAUUAUUUAUAACAAUAAUAAUUGUUAUUAUUGAUAACAAUAAUAAUGAUAAUAAUAUACAUGGAUUGUAUGUAAAGGAUGGACAACCUCAGUCUUUUGAAGCAUAUGCAAUGUUUUGGGUGCAGUACCAAUUUUUGCCAGCAGUUCAGUAACCAAUUAACCAACAAGAGUGCAGGGCACUUUGAACAAAUGUCAACAGACAAGACUGGGGUUCACACUGGACAGUUUGCUAGUAGUGACGCAAAAACACACACACGCCGACACACACACACACACUUGUUUUAAAUGCAUCAUAAAUUAAUGAAUCACAAAAAGAAUGUGAAAUCCAAUCAGAUCCCAGCUCCACGGUUCAGCUGCUCUGUCUUCCAUUAUUAUCACAGCGACAGUAACAAGUGGCCACGUUUGGUACAAUUAUGUUGUUGACGCUGUUGGAGCUGGAAUGGUUCAAUGCAGUACUUCUCAAAUAGUGGGGCGGGUGCCCCUGAGGGGCACGGUGAGGGGCUUCCAAUGGUCCAAUGGUAUAUGGCACGACAUAUCACUGGACAUAAGUGUACCACUGCUGUAAUGCUUGAAUGAUAACAAGCCUCCAGUCACUAGGUGGCAGCAACUCAUACAGUGGUUUGUACAAAUAAAAAUAUACAUCAUUAUCAGGUUCUCAAUAGUAUUUCAAUUUUUGGAGGUGUGGGUCGGGGGCAGCGUGAAAUCUGCUCUGUUCACAAGGGGUGACCUUUGGAGUGAUUUUAAAUUCACAUUUGUAUGACCUCCCACCACAGAUCGUUGACCCUCGAUUCAAAAGUGGCCUCAUGUUUCCACAUUCCAACACAGAGUUACAACGUCCACUUCUUAUACAUGAUCUUUAACCCAGUUUUUUUAAAUUGGUUAAGGAACAACACUAAUCAGAGCCAUGUGGUCAACGAUGAUAUGACACCUGUCACAGACUGAUACUGAUUGAUUUAAUUAGUUUGACUCUGGUUUGACUGUGACAAGAUUUUUCGAUGGUCUUUCAUCAGGGUGUGUGGAAUCAGAGUGUGUUCACAGUAAGGAAGACACAUGUGACUCAGGGCAACCGUGUUCCUCACUGCUGUGUUUUUAAUAGUUUCUGGAAAACAGCAACAGGACGAUUGGACCAUGUGGGUUUUCUUUGUUUGUUUAAAACGAUUGAUUUGACGAUAAAUCCUGUGACUGUCCAUGAAGUCGGAGCCGUCCCACGGGUUUCCGCCUCCUUCAAAGUCUGGUCCCAAAAUUGAGUCCCAUGUCCUGAGAUGCAAAAAAAAAAAAAAA